rnacentral:rRNA from 1 species
UACAGAGGUCCCAAGCGUUGUUCGGAUUCAUUGGGCGUAAAGGGCGCGUAGGCGGCAGGCCAAGUCGGGAGUGAAAGCCCGGGGCUCAACCCCGGAAUGUCUUUCGAAACUGGCCAGCUGGAGUGCGGAAGAGGCAACUGGAAUUCCCAGUGUAGCGGUGAAAUGCGUAGAUAUUGGGAAGAACACCUGAGGCGAAGGCGGGUUGCUGGGCCGACACUGACGCUGAGGCGCGAAAGCCAGGGGAGCAAACGGGG